CCACAUCCUGUGCUUAUGCUGGUGACC
rnacentral:sRNA from 1 species